GCUGAAAUAGCUCAGUUGGGAGAGCAUUAGACUGCAGAUCUGAAGGUCCCUGGUUUGAUCCUGACUUUCAGCA